GACGAACGCUGGCGGCGCGCCUAACACAUGCAAGUCGAACGGAGAUUACAGGCGGAAGUUUUCGGAUGGAAGCUUGUAAACUUAGUGGCGGACGGGUGAGUAACACGUGAGCAACCUGCCUAUCAGAGGGGGAUAACGAUUGGAAACGAUCGCUAAUACCGCAUGACAUAGCGGAAUCGCAUGGUUAUGUUAUCAAAGAUUUUAUCGCUGAUAGAUGGGCUCGCGUCCGAUUAGAUAGUUGGUGGGGUAACGGCCUACCAAGUCGACGAUCGGUAGCCGGACUGAGAGGUCGAACGGCCACAUUGGGACUGAGACACGGCCCAGACUCCUACGGGAGGCAGCAGUGGGGGAUAUUGCACAAUGGGGGAAACCCUGAUGCAGCGACGCCGCGUGAGGGAAGACGGUCCUCUGGAUUGUAAACCUCUGUCUUCGGGGACGAAACGAGACGGUACCCGAGGAGGAAGCCACGGCUAACUACGUGCCAGCCGCCGCGGUAA
rnacentral:rRNA from 1 species